AGCAUAUCAUUUAAAAUCUUUUUUCUUGUAAAGAAGAUGAACAUUAGACAAAAUACUACUAUCUGAGCUGGAAAAAAACUUUGACUGAAUUCCAUGGUACAUGCCUAUUCAGGCUGAAUAAUUCCUCUUCACUUAGAGAGGAUGCCUUCAAUAGCUCAUUUUAGGAUAGAAAUGGAAAACGGGAAAGGCUGAUGCAUUUAUAUUCACAUAACCAAGCCUAAAGUCAGGGCAGUUAUGACAAGUUUGAAGAUCAUCCAUCAGAAGUGAAUGAACAAAUUAAAAAAAUUUUAAACAGUGAAUGAAAUGGAAGGGUUUGUUGCCAGACUCAAGUCCAUCUGCUCUCCAAUCAAAAGCCAAUACUCAGAAGCUGAGAGUUUGGUAGCAGGAAAUCAGAUAUAUUUAAGGACUCUUGCCCUGAGAAGAAUGGACGGGGACCUCAAAAAAGACCAUCUUGGGGUAACUCAUGUACAUGGAAGGGUUUUUAUAGAGAGGGAAAGGAACUACGUGGAGAAUGGGCAGGAAGGCUACCUGCUGAGUGAGAUUUUCAUCAUCCAGGAUGUCUCCUUCCAUUUCCCUCUAGCUAGAACAUCACAACUGACGACCUCCUGGGGCUACUUCCUGUAAUUCCUUCUCCACCUUCUCCUCCUCCUUCUCAUUCUUCUUUUUAUCUCAAUACUGAGGACUGAACCCAGGGCCUCACAAAUGCUGGGUUGCUACAAAUGCCAAGUAAGAAAGGAGUGGAAAUGCCAUGGGAUCAGAUUCUCCUGAAGUGGGAUCAAGCAGGACAGGUGCUGAGAACUGGGUCUCUGCAGCUGACCACCCCUUGUCUACUCUGUUGGCUAUGUUGCUACUCAUACCAAGUCAGGGUUCCGCCAGCGAGAAAUGAGGAAAUUGUUUUCGGUUAGGAAACAAACACUGUCUUCCACCCAUCCCAGUAUAUUCACAUCUGAUUGAUUUUCUCUGUGUGAGGACCUUUUAAAUCAUGACGUUUCAUCUUUCUUUCUUAUAAGCUACAGAGUCCUUAGGAAAGAAAAAGAAAUUUUGGGAAAAUAGAAAUAAAAAUCAAAGGAACAACAACUUCUCUCUCUUGAGCAUUGAUGUAAGGGGGCAACCAGAGUUUCCACUCCGAAAUAUGAAGGGUUAUUCAGCUGAAGUUAAGAAGCAGAGUUUUGGAAGCUCUGUGCCCUCCUAAAAGUAGGACAUAAAUUCAUGAAGACCAGAGGUAUCCUUCCCACCCUCCUUCCAGCAGAAACCAAGGUUAACACUGAAGACAGCUUAGAUCCUUGUACGUCUGGAAGUAGUAGCAGAGGAAUCCACAUCAGCAAACUUUACUGACCUUUAUAUGUCACGCAUUUGCGGUACCUAGAGACUCAACACCCUUUUCCUUUGUCAUGUCACUUCUCUAAAAAAUUUGUUGCAGUUGCUAUAUAAACUGGACUUCAAGACCACCACUUCGAGCCACUACUUCUUCUCUGGGUGUUUCCCGUGAAUAUAUUGUCAAAGGACAAGAAUAUUAAGUAGCUUGAAGAUCUGAAUUGGCUUUAUUUUCAAUUCUAGAAAAUAGAAUUUUUGUGAAAUAAAAUUUUUCCAAUGGGCCAAGCAGAAGAGUUCGAUUUUUAUAGACAGAGAAGAACUGAAAAAGCCAGGGCUUCUUGGAGAAAUGCCUGAUUCUGAGACUGGCCCUCAGAAAAUUUAAACCUGGAAUAUCUUGUAGCACCAGAAAGUAACGAAGUGCUCCCUUCUUGGCCCCUCCACAAAAGCAUGGUAUCAUGUCUAAGGAACACAAGAGCCAAACUGAAGAAACUCAAAAGGCUGCAGCUGGAACAACUUGAACAAUAAAGUAAAUAAUGUAGCACAGGAGCACAAACAAAAGAAUACAGUAAGCAGUUAUGUGUCUAUACUGAUGGAAAUCCAUGACUGAAUGAGUGAGGAAUGGAGGUAAAGGGGCAAAUAUUUCAGAAGAAUUACAGAUGAUCUAUGGAGAUAUCCCCAUCCAGAAGGUGGAGUCUAGUUCUCUUUGCUCCUAUUUUUGAAUUAGUGAUUUAUUUUCAAAGAAUGCAAAGGUAAUAGCAAUUGCCCAAUGGAGAAAACUGGCAAGUACUACCCUAACAGAAGGGUGAAGGUUAACAUCACAGGUGACGCCACGGGACUCUCACCUAUUCCCUGAUGGGACAUAAUGAAAAGGGCAUUUCAACUCUGUGUGAUUUUCAAAGACCCAUUAACUCAACCUAAUCUAAAGAAAAACAUCAGAUAAACACAAUUUGAAGGACAGUCUACAAAAUAUUAGACUAGUACUCUUGAACACUUUCGAACAACUAAAAUAACUAAAGUCAGAAGCUGUCAGAGGCCGGAGACGAUAAGGAGAAGAAACCAACAAACUGCCUUCCAAAGUGGCUGUACCGUUUUGCAUUCUCACCAGUAAUAAAUGAGAGUUCCUGUUGAUCUUCGGCAGCAGCAUUUGGUGUUGUCUGUGUUCUGCAUUUUGGUCAUUUAAACAGUCUCCUCCUUUCAUCUUUCCGUAAAGGUCAACAACAUCUGGUGAUGUCCCCCUCUCACCCUCAUGGAAGACACUAGUCCCUCAGGGCCUCUUCCAUAUCAAACAGGACCUAAUGAAAACACUGCGGUGCUUGCCUGACCCUCUCACUGCCUAAACACAUCAUACUACCAUUUUGACUUUACUGCAAUUGAGAAUGUAGGAAACAAGGAGCUCCAAAAGGAUCGCCAAGCAAAGAAGAACAAGAUAAAAGAGAAUCUGGGCAGGGUUGCAAAGAUGAUUUCAAGAGACAAGAUGUAUAAAACAGACCUCACUGGGCAAACUGUGAACACUGAACAGAUGUUAUUAUUAACCGCUGGAUGUGGCAAUCCUGAGUACCCCACUGUAAGCCUUCUUCUUGGGGAGACUAAGAACAACAGAAAAUCAUUAGAGCAUCUCCUACUGAGCCAUCUGGCAUUGUUUUUCAGCUGCACAUCCUGGGGACUCACUAGGGCCAUAAAAUAAAGGAAGCAAUAAUUCUCUUCUGACCACUCAACUGCUAAAAUGAAGGGACCUGAAAUUUUACACUCUCUUGGAUAAUACAGAGAAAGCCUUGUAAUCAGUGUCUUGCUGUUUUGCCCAGUCUAACCUCAAAACCCCUGGGAUCAAGCGAUCUUCCUGUCUCAGCCUCCUGAGUAGUCCCAGCAGAUGUGGUGUUUGUACAGAUGAUAGACAGCUAACCAAGCUUGAGUGGCGUUCUGGUGAGACUGGGAUCAAGAUCUUUCAAAGCUCCACUCCAUCUUAGAAGAUGCUGCUGAGAGUCUGCUAUGAGCUUCGGCAACACUCAUUUCUAAGAUCCUGGAAUAUGUUUCGUUUUUGCCUGGAAUAAAGGCUUUAUUUACAUCCUGGACUUUGAGAUUU